rnacentral:lncRNA from 1 species
GUAUAAAACAUGGGGUUCCAGUGGGCAAAAGCAGCAGGAAAAGCCAGCAAGAACACAGGGCUCCAUGAAUUUCAUGUUUGGAAGAACAGGAAUCUUCAAGGCCAGGUUGGACGGGAUGUGGAGCACCCUGGGACAGCAGAAGGUGUCCCUGGCCAUGGCAGGGCUGGAAUUUGGAUGAGCUUCAAGGUCCCUUCAGCCCAAACCAACCUGAGACACCGUGACCCCUGUGCUGCUCUGAGCCUCAGAGGAAAGAGCUCUGGGACAUAAAGGGAUGAUGGAUAAACAGGAAAAGGUUUUGGGUUUGUCUUCUCCACUCCUUCAGCCUCAUCCUCCCUCCAGGAGCCCUUUCUCCAGCUCCAGAUGCCCCAAAUGCAGAACCUCAGGGCAUGUCCUUGCCAGCAGUGCCCACAUCCCCUCCCAAGAGAGGGCUGAUCUGGGAACUCAUCCCACAAGCUCAAUAAUGAGUGGAAACUGAGACCUCAACCUGUGCUUUCUUUGUUUGUGAUCCUCCCUGGUCAGAGAGCAGAAAAUCAUAAUUUAUAGUGGCAAUUGUCAGCAUUUGUAACCAAGUUCUUGGCUAAAAUACUGGAAAUAUGAUUAAAAAAAUUAAAAAUGGCAGAUGGUGUCAUUCUGCUAAACAUAUUUUGCUGAUGCCUGUUGAUUUAGAAGUGCUCAAAAUGAUUUUAACAGGAGUUUUAUUGUGCAAGGACUUCAAUUUCCAACAUUUCUUGCUAAUGAGCAGCAUCAAUAAUCAAACUCAUCAAUCCCCUUGAAUCCCAAAGUGUCUUCAGUAGGAAUGCGGGGGAGGAAGCCUCAAUCAUGUCUGGGAUCUCUGUGAAGCAAUUCAAACUUCACAGUUGUUCAGGAGCAAAGUCUUAAACUUCUGCCUUAACUUUUAUUUAAAAGUGGUUCUGGCCUGGUAAAAAAAAAAAAAAUACAAACCAGCACAAUGUUAAUGUGAAGAUCUUGCAUGAAAAUACAGUUAAGAACUGUAUUUAAAACCAGAUUAUCAAAGCUUCAAUUCGUCAUUAAUUUUGGUAUUUGCAGCCAUUUUUUAAGACCAUUUGGUCUGAUUUAUAAUAUUUCUCGAGUUCAGUAGCAGAAGGGCUGGUGUCCUUUUCUUGAGUUGGUUUUUCCCCCUUACAUCCCAUUAACAUUAACAAUCACUCUCCUGCUCUUGGAAGUAGAUAUAUUUUUUUUAAGAUAACAACACAACUGAGGGUCUGUACUUGUGUUUCUCAGCAGGAAUUUAGACCAGCAAGCACUCAGGUUGUUUUAUCUCUGGUGACCACUCACUUGCAUUAAAUGAACUGCCCUGUAGAGUAAAGAAAUUCACAUUAUUUUUUCUAAAAUGCCUGGUGCUGAGCAUUGAAAAGCCUUUUGAUGGCACAUCACACACAGGCUUCACUCCUGGGGUUUUAAUUGCCUAAAAGCCAGCAAGCGUCGUGUCCUAAACUUGGUCUCUUUUUCUUCUGUGUUCUCAGUUGAUUUAAUUUUCCAAAAGUAAAGUAUUUCCAAAAGUAUUGCUGUCCUGGAUAUCCUUGGCCUCCUGACUCCUUGAAGUACAUGUAAAAAUAAUCAAACAAAUAAAAUCUUCCUGGAAACCUUCUUGUGUUGCUUU